rnacentral:sRNA from 1 species
AUUAAAUUAAAUUUAAAUUUUUCAUUCUGUGAGUCAUAGACCAGUAAAUCUGUCUCAAUUGAUGACCAUUAAAUAGUUAAGGAGGUCAAAAGCCAUUUGAUUAGUAAUGUUUGUUCAAAACAGAAAUUUGAUCAUGGGUUUGACUACUUAAGUUCCAGAGUAACUGAAGUUUAGAAUAUUUACAGGUACUUGCAAUACAUAAAUGCUUGAGUCAGGAACAGUCGACCUCUGUUUAGAAAGUGUAAGGUCAGUCAUACUUAUGCCUGAGGAAAAAGAAAUACUUGCUAAUCAUCUCUACAUUCUGUUCAAGGCAAGAAAAUUAUGUAAUAUAGAUAUGCAAAGUACAGAUAAGGCAUCCAAAUGGGCCAAAUUGCAUUUUUAGGCACCUAGAAAAAAAUUUAAAUGAAGGACUGUGUUUUUGGAAGGAAUAAGUAAAAAGAUUUUUCAUAAUACAAUUACUAGGCCAUCAAGAAAGACAAUUUCAUUUCACUGCACUUUUUUUUUAAAAUACUCUUUUCUAACCAAGAAACAUGAAGUGUUUUAAGGAGAGGAAUUUAGUCUGCUUUUCUUUGGAAAAUCAAACUGACUUUAACAAAGAAUUACUGAGCUUCAUUCUAUGUAGUCUGCAAGCCACAGCUAUGAAUCACCAGUUCCUGAUACACAGUGUGGCUACGGUUGGAUUUUUUUUAUAUGUAUCUAAAGAUGCCAUAGACAAAGAUUCCUUCCAACCACAGACAGAAGCAGGAUGCCCAAGUACUCUUUGUGAUGAAUAAUAUAUACGUAAACCAUAGAGAGGCACAAGAGAGUACUGAUAGUUUAAAAAGUGAUGCUACAAAGAAGAGGGAACAGCAAAGUACAGGAAAAAAAUCAGCUUUAGCGUUUACUAUGGUGUUUUUUCUCCUGGCUUCUAUCUCUUUGAGACUUUGUUUCAAUUCCCUAAUUUGGUUGCAUAGAAACUGCCAUACUGGUUUCUCCUUUGGCAAUGCUGUGUCCUCUUAUUCUUCAGUCCACUCUUUCAAAUAAUCAAAAGAAUGAAUUAGAGAUAUGUGGCUUUGGGGUAAACAAGAUUGGUUUAUAUGUCCUGCUGGUUCUACUUACUGGUUCUUUGACCAUAGGUAAGUCAUUCUAUCCAGUUUAACUAAGAAUUUUCAAGCCCCAGUUUUCUAACAUAUAAAAGACUACUGACAGUUGCAUGCUAACAGAAUCGUGAAAUAAUUAAAUAAUGACAACUAACAGGCUCCAUAGAUUUUUCUAGUAAUCACUUCCACCAGUGCUCAUUUUAUUAUGGAAGAUAGCAUUCCAAAUUUUUAGUACAUUCAGAGAAAUAAUACAAUCUCUAUCUUUGAAGGAUUUCACUAAAAUCUGGACACAUAUAUUUUACAUCUUUUCAUAUACAUGCAUUGUUUCACAGUCUAAACUGAUUUAUGUCAUAUUACCCCAGAGCUCUCUUUCAAGUUUUUCAAAUUAAUAACUAAUAUAUGAUGAUGUGUUUUUGCCCUGUGGGAGCACUAUGAAUUACCCAUAAGAACAUAUGAACAUUUACAACAGAACUCUAGAAGAUUGUAUGGCAAACAGAGGGAUGACUAAUAGAAGGAAUUUCAAGUGCCCCACCCUCCUGAAGUUCAGUUUUCUGUAGAUCACAUGUGGAAGUGGUUUUGUGUACUGACAACGUGUGGGAGAUCAGCCUUGCUAAUACUUUAUUGAAAUGUAAAAAUAUGACUUGUUUUAUUAAAAGAAAUUUGGCAAAAUGUUAUCAAGACUUGAAAAUAUUCAUACAUUUUGAAUUGGCAAUGAUACAUUGAGGACUCCUUGGUGAAUUAAAGUUGAAAAAGCACACUUGUGACAAAAGUUCAUUUUGAAGCCAUUGAAAUGGUUCAAUGUGUAAAUACAUUUUCCAUGAAGCCCGAUCAUACGAAUUCAAGUCCUAUCAUCCACAUGAUAGACAGAGAUAGUUAACUGGCUCCUGAACGUUGUCCUUUGAUCUGCAUACAUGCACUGUGGUGUACAUAUGCAAUCAUACACAACAUAUAAAUAAAAUCUAAGAAUGAGAGUUCACUUUGGCAGAAAAUAUUUGCAAGUAGAAUGAAUGACCAAUAAUGGAGGAAGGGUGAUUAAAUAAAUUUUACUAGAUUAGGUCUACAAAUUUGGACAUAUGUCUUCUGUACAUUGCAAAAUAAGAUGCAAAGAUAUAAGGAACAAUGGCUAAUCUUGCAUUACCAAACUUACAUUAGCAUCAGGCCCUUCAUUCAUUUUCUUUUUUCUUCCCUCCCAAACCCAAGCAAGCAAGGCUGUAUUGCUCAGAAGCUGUUUUCUCUUUUUAGUUCCAAAAGACAGCAUUUCACCAUGAAUUUAAACAGGAGCAUCUACAACAUGUAUUAUUUACCAUCUCUACUUUUAACAUAUUUAUGCACUUCUACACACCUUGAAAGGCUAGAUGCUUUGGUGAGGACAUAAAUUUGUCCCCUAUAUACUCAGUAGUUUUGAAACCACACACAUAUAACAAUGGUUAGAUCUCCAAGUAUCUUCUGGUGAGAACAUGUUGGUCUCUGACCUCUUUUACCCUUCAUCCCCUUUUCUGUAUCUGUGACACAGGCACCUCUCACCUGGAUGAUACACUUGCACAACUCUUCAGAAGACAACCUUGCUGUGAAUAACACAGAGCAUACGGAAUGUUACAUGAUUCCUGCCCAGGAUUGGAGCCACCUACAUUUAAAAUUGAUCUGCCUACCUCAAUGAACUUAACUUAGAAAAUCUUUCAAAAGUAUAACAGAGAUUUGUGUCCAAGUCUCUUGUGUUCACACGCUAUGGGGUACUUUUGGCAGUCAGAAGAAAACUUGAAGGAACUAUUGUGUGGGUCCUGGAGACCGAACACACGUAAUCAAGCUAAGUACCUUUAGACCUGAGCAAUUUCAGUGGUCUGAGUGUUGUAUAGACUUGUUAAAUGUCUUAGCAUUAAACACCAGCAUUGCAUUUUUAUUAUUUUUUCUUAUUUUAUAUCUUGCCUUUACUACACCAAGAAUUAUAUCCAUUUGAUACUGUCUUAAA